rnacentral:misc_RNA from 1 species
AUGGAAACAAGUACCGAACAGGCCCCCGCGACUACGGAAACUGCUUCUAAUAAUGAACAGGAGCACAAUGAAGAGGGCAUGGAAGAAACUGAAGAUUAUAGUUUCGAUGGUGAAGAUUAUAGGCAUUUCGUACCACGGGGUCGAGGAGGCUUUAGGGGUCGUGGCAGAGGUGGGUUUGAUUUUCCCAUGAGAGGUGGACCUCCAAGAUUUAGAGGAAGAGGAUUUGGACCUAGAGGACCAAUGUUUCGGGGAGCGAAUAACGGAUUUCCAUUUGAGGGACCUCCUAGGCCAAAUUGUCCACCGGGUCCAGCAGGACCACGCUUUCGGGGACCUCCGCCGUUUGAUCCUAGCUGGGGACCUAUGGGGCCACCAAAUCUGAUGGGACCACCAAAUCUCAUGGGACCUCCAGGAAUGCCACCACCACACAUGAUGAAUGGCCCAAUUGGGACAGGUCCGGGACCAUACGGACCACCUCCUGGAAUGGGACCACCAAAUAUGAAUAACAUUCCAGGUCAGCAGCAACCCCCGCAACAACAGGCGCAACAACAAGCAAACAUUCCAGGAUUAGAUCUCAAUGGAGAGGUAUGGGUAGAAACAAAAACUCCAGAUGGCAAAUCAUAUUAUUAUAAUAUCCGCACGAGAGAAACUACAUGGACAAAACCAGAGGGACCAAAUGUCAAAGUUAUGGUACAAGACCAGUUAGAACAAUUGGUACAUGGAGCAUCUAAACAAACAACACCAUCUGGAACACCUACUUCUACAGCUACUACUCCCAAUCAAAUUAAUGAAAAUAGGGUGUCACAGAAUAACGAACAAUCUUCAACAAAUAAUGCAGAUGCUAUUAGUCAACUCAGUACAGCUCCUCCUGGUACAGGUCCACCUCCCACACUUGGUGAAACACCAGAUAUGAAUACGCAACCAACUGAUACAACACAAGCAAACGGAACAGCACCUACAACUGUAACUAAUACUCCAAAUAUGAAUACUCCAGCAGUAAAUACAAAUAUGAUGCAACCUCCUCCUAACAUGAUACCUAUGCAACAUAGAAUGCCAAAUCAAUUUGGUGGUCCAAUUGCAACACAAUUUGGAGCAGCACCUUUUGGUAUGCCACCACCAGGAUUUCAACCUUUUGGAGGCUAUGGUCCACCACAAGCAAAUUGGGGUAUGCCACAAAUGCCACAUGGAGUAAUGGCACCACAAGCUCCAGCAGAAGAUCCUGCUAUAUUAGCUCAACUAGAUCAAGAAUUAGUAGCAUCUGCUAUGGUAUGGACAGAACAUCGUGCACCAGAUGGAAGAUUAUAUUAUUAUAAUAGUAAAGCUGGAGAAUCUGUUUGGGAAAAACCACAAGCUUUAAAAGAUCUUGAAAAUGCAAAAUUAGCGUUACGACAAAAGGCAGAAGAAGCAGCUGCCAAUACUACAAAUGCUGCUGUGAGUACUUCCACUGUUACUAGUAACAAUGUAACCACUGAGCCUACAAAACAAGAAAAACCUCAAGAAAGUAAUCACGAAACCAAAGAUAGUGUAAAAGAAGCAGACGCUAAUAAACCGAAAAAAGAGGAAACUACACCCAAGGAAGCUGCCAAACCUCAAGAUAAAUCUAGACCAAUCUCUAGUACACCAGUACCUGGAACUCCUUGGUGCGUUGUUUGGACAGGCGAUGGACGUGUAUUCUUUUAUAAUCCUUCAUCGCGUAUUUCUGUUUGGGAAAGACCAGAUGAUCUCAUUGGUCGUCAAGAUGUCGAUAAAAUGGUAUCUACUCCACCAGAUGCAGUAGUAACUACCAAACCAACACGUCAAUCAGAUACAAGUGAAAGCAGUGACGAUGAUCAACCAACACCGGCAAAAAAAGUGAAACAAGAAGAUACAAAAGCUGUAACACCAAAAGAAGAAGAAGAAAAAGAAAAUAAAAAGACUAUUGACAUCGGGAAGGAAGCUGCAAUAGAGGCUGAAGUACGAGCUGCUAGAGAAAGAGCAAUUGUUCCUUUGGAAACAAGGAUUAAAUCGUUUAGGGAUAUGCUUGCAGAAAAAGAUGUAUCCGCGUUUAGUACUUGGGAAAAGGAACUUCAUAAAAUUGUGUUUGAUCCUCGGUAUUUACUUUUGACAUCAAAGGAGAGGAAACAAGUUUUCGAGAAGUACGUCAAGGAGAGAGCAGAAGAAGAAAGGCGGGAAAAGAGGAACAAAAUGAAGGAACGGAAAGAACAAUUUCAAAAAUUAUUAGAAGAAGCUGGACUUCAUGGAAAAUCUUCAUUUAGUGAUUUUGCUCAAAAACAUGGGCGUGAUGAACGGUUUAAGAAUGUAGAAAAGAUGCGUGAACGAGAGAGCCUAUUCAACGAAUAUCUACUGGAAGUGCGAAAGAAGGAAAAAGAGGAAAAAACAGCAAAACGAGAGCAGGUGAAAAAGGAAUUCAUAGCGAUGCUACGUGAACACAAAGACAUCGACAGGCAUUCGCAUUGGAGCGAUUGUAAGAAAAAAUUGGAAUCUGAUUGGAGAUACAGAGUCGUAGAGUCGGCAAGCACGAGAGAAGAUUGGUUUAGGGAUUACAUUCGUAUGCUAAAGGAGGAGAGGAAAAAGGAGAAGGAGAAAGACAAAGACCACCGGCACAGAGAAAAAGAUCAUCAUAAAUCGGAGAAGAAGGAUAGAGACCGUAAGGAUGUUGAUAAGUAUAAAGAAAAAUCAUCGAAGGAUCGGGUCGACAAGGACAGUUCAAAGGACAAAAAACGUAGGAGCGAAGUAGCUUCGGAGGAAAAUGGUAAAGAAAAGAAGGACGCGGUAUCGGAGAAAGAAAGUGGAGAAAUUGAAGAUAACGAUGAAAAACCAUCGAAAAAAGAAAAUGACAAGGAGAAUGCGGAAGAUCAAUCUGACUCUGAAGAAGAUCGCGAGAAACAGAAACGAGAGCGUGAAAGAAGGGCGGAAGCGAGUCUUCGUGAAAGAGAAAGAGAAGUUCAGAGAACUCUUGCUACGCAUCUUCGUGACAGAGACAAGGAAAGGCAACAUCAUCGUCAUACAGAAGCUGUACAGCAUUUCAGUGCCCUUCUUGCUGAUUUAGUGAGAAAUGGUGAUUUAGCUUGGAGAGAAGCCAAACGACAAUUAAGGAAGGAUCAUAGAUGGGAAUUAGCAGAAAGCUUAGAUCGUGAGGAAAAAGAAAGAUUAUUUAAUGAACAUAUAGAACAGCUUAGUCGCAAAAAACGUGAUAAAUUCCGAGAACUUCUUGAUGAAGUAGGAGCUUCUACUGAAUUAACUGCAUCGUGGCGAGAUAUAAAAAAAUUGUUGAAAGACGAUCCUAGAUAUCUUAAAUUUUCAUCCAGUGAUCGAAAAUGUGAAAAAGAAUUUAAAGAGUAUAUUAAAGAUAAACUUGUCGCAGCUAAAGCCGAUUUUAGAGAACUUCUACAAGAAACAAAACUUAUUACUGAUAAGACAUAUAAAAAAGUACAAGAAAAUAGCGGACAUUUAGCAGAAAUUGAAGAAAUUUUGAGGAAGGAUAGAAGAUUUCUUGUAUUGGAAGCAGCAGCUGCUGAACGAACACGUUUAUUAAUGGGAUAUUUAGAAGAAUUGGCACGUAGGGGUCCACCUCCACCACCUACUGCCUCCGAACCUUCAAGAAGACCAACCACAAACUAACGAGGCCCGCAUCAAAGCAUGGUAUAUAUAUGGUGUCCAAAUAACAAAUCAGUGAUUGAAUUUAUAGCUGUAGUUGAAUUGAAGUACUUUACACACGAGAUGAUUAUCGCCUGUAAUUAUAGGAUUCAAUAAAACUAACGCCAAUUCCACACAGCUAAAAAUGUGUGUCAUACUGUAAAGAUGCCAUAGUGUUUGUUACAUAAGCACCCCAUUAUGAAUCUUUUGUAUGAAAAUUACAUGAGAAUUACAACGAGUGUUUGUUACACACUCUCAACUAGUUUAAAAGCAUGCGCAGUGAAUUUCUAUAAACUGAUGUUAAAAUAUAAUAGUCCAAAAAAUUUUAAUCCUUGUAUCUAAAACAAACAAAAAAUGUAUAACGUACGACAAUCAUGCACCAUAAUUUUUUGACGGAGUAUAGUUCGAAAAUAAUUUUCAAUUUUCGAAUUAUUUUUCUCAUACAGCUUUAUUGGAUCAUGAAACGUAAGUAUCCUAUAAAACAUUGUCAUAAAAAAAUUUUGAUUCUAAAGAAUUCGUAAAAA